rnacentral:rRNA from 1 species
UACGUAGGUGGCAAGCGUUGUCCGGAAUCAUUGGGCGUAAAGCGCGUGUAGGCGGCCCGGUAAGUCCGCUGUGAAAGUCGGGGGCUCAACCCUCGAAUGCCGGUGGAUACUGUCGGGCUAGAGUGCGGGAGAGGCGAGUGGAAUUCCUGGUGUAGCGGUGAAAUGCGCAGAUAUCAGGAGGAACACCGGUGGCGAAAGCGGCGCACUGGACCACAUCUGACGCUGAGGCGCGAAAGCUAGGGGAGCAAACAGG